rnacentral:rRNA from 1 species
UACGUAGGGGGCAAGCGUUGUCCGGAAUUAUUGGGCGUAAAGAGCUCGUAGGCGGUUUGUCGCGUCUGCUGUGAAAACUGGAGGCUCAACCUCCAGCCUGCAGUGGGUACGGGCAGACUAGAGUGCGGUAGGGGAGAUUGGAAUUCCUGGUGUAGCGGUGGAAUGCGCAGAUAUCAGGAGGAACACCAAUGGCGAAGGCGGCAUCCUGGACCAUUACUGACGCUGAGGCGCGAAAGCUAGGGGAGCAAACGGG